AGCAGCCGCGGUAAUUCCAGCUCCAAUAGCGUAUAUUAAAGUUGCUGCAGUUAAAAAGCUCGUAGUUGAAUUUCGGGACCAUCAUGUCGGUCGUGCCUCGGUACGUACUGGCAUUGUUGGUUUCUACCUUCUGACGAACCAUGAUGUCAUUUAUUUGGUGUCGUGGGAAAUCAGGACUGUUACUUUGAAAAAAUUAGAGUGUUUAAAGCAGGCUCACGCUUGAAUACAUUAGCAUGGAAUAAUGAAAUAGGACGUUUGAUUCUAUUUUGUUGGUUUCUAGGAUCGACGUAAUGAUUAAUAGGGAUAGUUGGGGGCAUUAGUAUUCAAUUGUCAGAGGUGAAAUUCUUGGAUUUAUUGAAGACUAACUACUGCGAAAGCAUUUGCCAAGGAUGUUUUCAUUAAUCAAGAACGAAAGUUAGGGGAUCGAAGACGAUCAGAUACCGUCGUAGUCUUAACCAUAAACUAUGCCGACUAGGGAUCGGAUGAUGUUAAUUUUUUAAUGA
rnacentral:rRNA from 1 species